rnacentral:lncRNA from 10 species
GGCCCCUGAGGGCUCCAGGGCGCCCCUGAUAACUACAUUUAGACAGGCAGUCACAAGCCUGGGGACUGCAGGCACAGUGAGGAAGGUAGGGAAGGGUCUCUCCAAGACAGGCCCACCAGGAGCCCCCACUGGGAAUAAUGCAGCCCCUCUCAGGGGAUGGAGUGUCUGGAAUUCCAUGGCUGAGGUGCAACAGGUGACUGAAGGUUUGAGGAGGCAACGCUGCCACUCACAGUCAGAAGCAGAGGGGAUGAGAUGGCCAGAUGUGAUUGGAAUCAGACACAGUGAGGUUUGAAUCCUCACUCUGUCCUUUUUGUUGUGUGGCCUGUGUGACAGGUCCCACAGCCUCUCCAGCCUCUGUGGGAAGAAGGAUCAUCUGAUGCCUAUGUAAUAGAGUUGCUGAAGGAGUGGAAGCAGCUUUGACAUUAUCAGUGGAACCCACCAGUGCAGACUGCUUCACCAAGGGCACCUGAGGCAGCAGAUCUGAGGAUUAGGGACGUAGGGAGCUGAAGCCUGGCUGGAGAGGUGGUGCGCACAAGAACCCCCACAUUCCCCGACAGGAGCCUGAAAAAGGUAAGUGGCAGCCAACAUAGGUUUCACAGCCAAAAGUGGAGGAUUUUAUGCAGCAGGCCAGUUCUCUGAAAGCCCACUUGUGAAAGGAUACGUUCUGGGGAUACCCACUCCACCCUCUCUUGGAUCACUUACACUGGGAUAGCAAGACGCCAUGUUGGGAGGACACGGAAGCAGUUCUAGGGAGAGGAGCACAUGGCAAGAAGCCAAGGCCUCCUGCCCACAGCCGGCAAUACUUAUACUUUUUUAUUUUUGGUAAUCUGUGAUUAUGUUUGGGAAUAAAUUUGCCUCUACAGGAUGAUGAUAAGAAUGUAAUUUGCAGAUAGAAUAAAAACAGAAAUUGGAUUCAUAAAUAAUGUCUCCACAGAUGCUUAAAAGAUGAAAAUUCUACUACUUUCACUAACAUGUGGAAGCCUAGUUUCUUUUGCAGAUACCCUGUGAUUGCCAGCAAGUAAACCAGAUGCAAUUGUGGUUUCCGUGAAGCACAGCUGGAAAACUGCUGCCCCCACGGAGGAAGAGGAAGAUGGGAAGAUGGUGGUUACUGCACACCAGGCACCAGCCUCGGGGCUAUGAGCUGUACAAACAUUACCCAUUUUAUCCUCGUGACCAUGUUCUGAGAAGGCUGUCAAUGAUCUCACUUUAUACAUGGGGAAAUUCAUGCAGACAGAGGCUGACUAAAUUGCCAUGGUCACUCAGCUAGUAGGAACUGGAGCUGUAACUUGAACCCGGGUCUUUUGUUUCUGUGGCUCCUGGUAGCACAUGCCGGGCUUGAAGUGAGAUCCGGAGGAUGUUGGAAACAACGUGUUCCCCAUCAUGAAAGUCCUUAUGAUACCUUAUGAUGCAGAGUUGGCAGCCAGGAGCAGGGGCUUCCAGAAGCAUGGCUGACCCUUGUUGGGAUCUCGCUCCUGUGAGCCUUGGAACGUCUAGGGAGAAAGAGCAGCCAAAUUUAGAGCUGCAGGAGCUUUGAGAUGCAGCUCAGGCAUCAUCUCUGGGAAGUCUUUCCUGGAACCACAGCCUGGGCCCUGUACCUGAUUCCCAGCCCCUGUGGCUCUUUUUGCAUUUGCUGCCUCUUUUCACAAUUCUGUCUCCUUAUGUCUUCCACUCUACACGCAAGCCCCUUGAGGGCAGGACCAUGACUCAGUCAUCCUGUACCCUAGCACCCACCCUGGGUCUGCAUCUGGAAGGAGCUCACUAAGUGAUUAUUGAGCCAAACUGAACUGUAGCAGGAGUGAGCAAAGCUAAUUCAUGGGUGCAGAAUGGGAGCACAGAGCUGCCAGAAUCCAGAGACAACUGUAACUGUCCCGGCACAGGGGGCUUCAGGCCGCGGUGAGAGCCACUGAAAGCAAGAGAGCCAGGUGGUGGCUCAGUUCACACUGAGUCCUGCUGAAGAAAUAGGCACAUCGUGUGUGUUAAAAUCAGCACCCCAUGCACCUGUAGGAAGAGACUGAGGCACCCUGGAGGCCCCUCCCAAUAAUUAAAAGGCCCUCUGGGGCCUGUGGGAGCCCUAGCUGAUGAAAUCACAAAGGCCUCAGCCUCUAAAGUGUUUCCAGUAAAAUGCUACCAGGAUUUUCCUCCCUUAAAUCUGGAUGAAAGGGCUGUCUGUGCUACAAAGUGCACACCUGGCGUUGAUACGCAGUCUCUUGCUGCCUGUUAACUAACCCACCAGCCGACAAGUUCUGCCCACUGGCAGGAGCAAGGACUUAUAAAAAAUAGUGCCUCCCUCCCAAGGGCUUAUGAGCUGGUUAAGUGCAGAGGACAAAUAGAAUGAAAGAAAAGGCAAUCUCGGCAUAGUAUUUAGUUAAUUCUUCUCUCUCUCUUGUUCCCUCUCUCUCCUUUCUCUCUUCCUCCCUCCUUUCUAUGACUUGUCCUCUCCACACAACUCCUUUUCCGUUUUCCCUCCCCUGCCUCCCCACCUUCUUUCUUGACUUCCCAUCUUGCUCCCUUUCUUCCUGCCUGCCCAUCUGCUUUCCUUUCUUAUCUCUGGUGCAAAUUCUGCAUAUAGUCGCUCUCCUCAUUUCAUGACAGGCUGUCUUCAUCAGUUUCUGAGUUCUUUUGUUAUUUUAUAAAAUAUUUUACAUGCUGUCCUCAAAAAAUCCCCUCCCCCAGAAAAGGCCCAUUCAAAAGUACUUACUAUACGUCCUUAGAUAGGCAAUGAUCUCUGAAAUAUAUAUAGGCUUGCUCUAUAUGUGUUUUUGUAAGUGUACUUUUCUUUCAUUAAAUAUGCAGAUCUUAAUUGUACAGUUUGAGGUGUUUUGACAAAGGUAUAUACCAGUAAAACCACCACCCCAACCAAGGUACCGAACACUUUCAUCUCUCUGGAAAGUCCCCUUGUGCCACCUUCCAGUCAACUCUCACCCUCCAGAGGCACCCACUGUUCAGAUUUCUACAUGCAUUUUGCCUGUUGCUGAACUGGAACCUCACAGCCUUUUACGUCUGGCUUCUUUCACUUAACAUAAUGUUUUUAAGUCAUCCAUGUAGUUCAUUCUUUUUUUUGUUGCAGAGCAAUAUUCCAUUGUGUGAAUGGAUGUACUUUAUCCAUCAACAGUUGAUGAAGUUGGGUUGGUGGCACUUUUUGGCUAUCGUGGGUAAUGCUGCUCUGGAUGUUUCUGCACAAGUCUUUAUUGUGGACAUGGGUUUCCAUUUCUUCUGGGCAAAUGCCCAGGAACAGAAUUGCUGAUUCAUUAGGAAGUUAUAUGUUUAACUUCAUAAGAAACUGGAAAACCGCACUCCACAGUGUUCAUGCUAUUGCACAUUGCCCCCAGUGCCAUGUGAAUGUUUCAUUCUUGGGGUCUAGAAUAUCUUACUGCAGUUUUAAUUGGAAGUUCUCUGAUGACUUUUGAUAGAGUAUCUUUUCAUGUGCUUAUUGGUUAUUUAUUUCUUCUUUAAAGAAGAGUCUAGAUCCUUUUCCCAUUUAAAAUUGCAUUGCUUCUAUUUUUACUGUUGAUUCUUAGAAGUUCUUUACAUAUUUUAGAUUUAUAUACAGUAAAUAUUUUCUCCCAGUCCAUGGCUUGCCUUUACCUUUUCUUAAUGGUGUCUUUUGAUUAACCAGACAUUUUAAAUUUUCAUGAAGCCUAUUGUAUCGGGGGUUGUUUUUGUUUGUUCAUUUAUGGUUAGUACUCUUUUUGGUGCUAGCCAGGAAAACUUUGCCUACAUUCUCCUAAGCUCAUGAAUAUAUUUUUCUAUAUUUGUUUCUAGGACAUUUAUAAUUCAAACUUUUAUGUUCUAGCCUAUCACUCAUGUAUAGUUAUGUAUAGUAUAAAUAAGGAUUGAAGUUCAUUUUUCUUUCCAUAUACUUAUCCAGUUAUUCCAGCACCAUUUGUUGAAAACACUUUCUUUCCCUCAUUGAAUUUCCUUGAAGCUUGUGCUCAUAACUUAUAUAACGAGUAUUGCGUUACAAUUUCCAUUAUAUUUCUUAAUUUUUCACUUAACACAAUGUUUAUAUGAUCUAUCCGCAAUGCUGUAUUCAGUCAUUUGAAUUCACUCAUUCAUUUUAUCAUUCAAUAAAUCUGCAGUGGUGAAGAAAACAGAACAUGGCUUUAUUCUCAUGAAAUUUAUAAUCUAGUGAGAGAUAUUGGCCAAAAAAAUUAUACACACACACCCAGGUAAUGAUAAGAGCUAUAAAGAGAAAUAAAGCAAGACAAACAGGAAGAGAUUUAACGGGAGGUGCUAUUUAAAUCGGGCAAUGGGUCAGGAAACCUUGCUCCUGGUCCUGACAUUGGAGGAGAGAGCCAUGGGCUCAUUCAGCCUUGAGUUGAGCAAUUGCUUCCAGAAGAGCUAAAAGGCCAGAGGGCCCAAAGGGUGGCAGAUGAAGG